rnacentral:snRNA from 12 species
AUACUUACCUGGCGGGGGCUUGCCAGUGGUCAACACGACUGGUGACCACAGGGGGGGCAGGCUCUUGCACUGGGCUAGACCCUGGAGUGCUGUAAUCCCUGGAGAAUAUUCCUUCGGGGGUAUCUCUACCGCAUAAUUUUUUUCCGGGGAGGUGUUCGCUUGCGACCCUCCCA